AGAGCCAUGUAAAGAAGAUGAGACCUGCAAGGAGAAGAGGAUCACAGCGUAGAGGAACACUGUACAAACUGUUUGACUCCAAGAUAACAUUCCAGAUUAACAACAUCCAAAUUCUAUCGAGGGAGGAGUCUGAAGCCACAGAGGCCUCUGCCUUUGACCAGGAUGAUGGUGAGCCAGAAGAGCCAGUCCCAGGAUAUACCACUGACUCCUUCCCAGCUAUGUCCAGUACUGGUUUUGCUCCUCUAAAAGGACCCAGUGGUAAUUCUGCUUAACUGAAACCUGCUAGUUAGCUGCCUUAUCUAUUUUUAUAUUUUUUUAUUUGUCAUUUAUUUAUUUUUGAAUAAAUCCAUCCAUCUAUGUUCUAUACCAGCUUCUUCCGUAUAGGUCUCCUUUGAAUACACAAUAUACAGAUACAGUGCUAAAAAAAAAGAACAGAAGGGGGGAAAAAAGAACAUGAAAAUAAAACAAAUGUUGACAAGUACUCCAUUUUUGGUGUAUAUAGGUGCAGAGGUGAGAAGGCAGAGGGUUUGGGUAAGGGAAGGUCCUACGGUUUUCACCGCUCUGUUGAUCAUGUUUUGUCUCUAUACUUCACACUUACCCCAGUAUGUUAUCCAUCAUGCCUGCUAUUGUAGACCAUCACUUUGAUGUUGGAUUAUCAUCUAUUUGAAAGCUGUUCAAUAAAUGGGUGCACCCCCCAACUUA